AGGAAGUGAACGAAGGGCGUACGGGGAAUGCCUAGGCUCUCAGAGACGAUGAAGGACGUGGUAAGCUGCGAUAAGCCAGGAGGAAGUGCAAACGACUGUUGAUUCCUGGAUGUCCGAAUGGGGCAACCCACUAGAUUGAAGAUCUAGUACUCCGCAAGGAGAGGUAACCCGGGGAACUGAAACAUCUAAGUACCCGGAGGAGGAGAAAAUAAUUUAAUGAUUCCGCAAGUAGUGGCGAGCGAACGCGGAACAGCCCAAACCAUUACGAUACGUCGUAGUGGGGUUGUAGGACUUGUGUAAUUAUCUGCUACAUAAUUGGAACAGUUUUGGAAAAGCUGACCAUAGAGGGUGAAAGUCCCGUACAGGAAUUGUGGUAGAUAUGACGAGUAUCCUGAGUAGGGCGGGGCCGGAGAAACCCUGUCUGAAUCUGCGGGCACCAUCCCGUAAGGCUAAAUACUCCUGAGAGACCGAUAGUGAACCAGUACCGUGAGGGAAAGGUGAAAAGAACCGCGAGAAGCGGAGUGAAAAGACCCUGAAACCGUGCGCCUACAAGCGGUCGGAGCCAGCUUUCGAGUUGGUGACGGCGUGCCUUUUGCAUAAUGAGCCUACGAGUUACUCCUCACUACCAAGUUUAAGGUGUUCAGCACCGGAGGCGCAGCGAAAGCGAGUCUUAACAGGGCGUCAUAGGUAGUGGGGGUAGACGCGAAACCUGGUGAUCUACCCAUGGGCAGGUUGAAGUUCCGAUAGUCUCGGAAUGGAGGACCGAACCGGUAAACGUUGAAAAGUUUUCGGAUGACCUGUGGGUAGGGGUGAAAGGCCAAUCAAACCAGGAGAUAGCUCGUACUCCCCGAAAUGCAUUUAGGUGCAGCGUCGUGUAAUGUGUGCCGGAGGUAGAGCUACCAAUAGGGCUAGGGGGCUUCACCGCCUACCAACCCCUGAUGAACUCCGAAUGCCGGCAUAACAGUAGCGGCAGUGAGGCUGCGGGUGCUAAGGUCCGUGGCCAAGAGGGGAACAACCCAGACCAUCAGCUAAGGUCCCCAAAUUCGGGCUGAGUUGAAUGGAACGAUGUGGGGAUGCUAAGACAGCUAGGAUGUUGGCUUGGAAGCAGCCAUUCAUUUAAAGAGUGCGUAACAGCUCACUAGUCGAGCGUUCCUGCGCGGAAAAUACUCGGGCAUAAGCCCGGUACCGAAGCUAUGGAAAGACUG
rnacentral:rRNA from 1 species